rnacentral:rRNA from 1 species
AUUGAACGCUGGCGGCAAGCCUAACACAUGCAAGUCGAACGAGUGGCGGACGGGUGAGUACUGUCUGGGAAACUGCCUGAUGGAGGGGGAUAACUGCUGGAAACGGUAGCUAAUACCUCAUACCCUCGGAUGUGCGCAGAUGGGAUUCGCUAGUCGGUGGGGUAAUGGCUCACCUAGGCGACGCUCCCUAGAUAGUCUGAGAGGAUGACCGGCCACACUGGAACUUAGACACGGUCCAGACUCCUACGGGAGGCAGCAGUGGGGAAUAUUGCACAAUGUGCGCAAGCAUGAUGCAGCCAUGCCGCGUGUAUGAAGAAGGCUUUCGGGUUGUAAAGUACUUUCAGCGAGGAGGCGUUACUCGCAGAAGAAGCACCGGCUAACUCCGUGCCAGCAGCCGCGGUAAUUC